rnacentral:rRNA from 1 species
UGCAAGUCGAACGAACUUCCGUUAAUUGAUCAUGAGGUGCUUGCACUGAAUGAGAUUUUAACACGAAGUGAGUGGCGGACGGGUGAGUAACACGUGGGUAACCUGCCCAGAAGCAGGGGAUAACACCUGGAAACAGAUGCUAAUACCGUAUAACAGAGAAAACCGCCUGGUUUUCUUUUAAAAGAUGGCUCUGCUAUCACUUCUGGAUGGACCCGCGGCGCAUUAGCUAGUUGGUGAGGUAACGGCUCACCAAGGCGAUGAUGCGUAGCCGACCUGAGAGGGUAAUCGGCCACAUUGGGACUGAGACACGGCCCAGACUCCUACGGGAGGCAGCAGUAGGGAAUCUUCCACAAUGGACGCAAGUCUGAUGGAGCAACGCCGCGUGAGUGAAGAAGGGUUUCGGCUCGUAAAGCUCUGUUGUUAAAGAAGAACGUGGGUGAGAGUAACUGUUCACCCAGUGACGGUAUUUAACCAGAAAGCCACGGCUAACUACGUGCCAGCAGCCGCGGUAAUACGUAGGUGGCAAGCGUUAUCCGGAUUUAUUGGGCGUAAAGCGAGCGCAGGCGGUCUUUUAAGUCUAAUGUGAAAGCCUUCGGCUCAACCGAAGAAGUGCAUUGGAAACUGGGAGACUUGAGUGCAGAAGAGGACAGUGGAACUCCAUGUGUAGCGGUGAAAUGCGUAGAUAUAUGGAAGAACACCAGUGGCGAAGGCGGCUGUCUGGUCUGUAACUGACGCUGAGGCUCGAAAGCAUGGGUAGCGAACAGGAUUAGAUACCCUGGUAGUCCAUGCCGUAAACGAUGAUUACUAAGAGAAGGAGGGUUUCCGCCCUUCAGUGCUGCAGCUAACGCAUUAAGUAAUCCGCCUGGGGAGUACGACCGCAAGGUUGAAACUCAAAAGAAUUGACGGGGGCCCGCACAAGCGGUGGAGCAUGUGGUUUAAUUCGAAGCUACGCGAA